AUGUGUGGAAAGGGGAAAUUUCUGUCUGGAUGGAAUCCCAGCUUUAUGCUUCACAGCACAUCCUUGCGGCCUGUUUGCCUACUUGCUCUUCUAGUUGGUUCUCCUGCCUCUCACAGCAGUCUUCCUCUUCAUAGCAGAAGCUCUGAUGUGAGGAGACCCUCAAGGCCAGACCAGGUGGGAAAUCUUGGGACUUAAUGGCUUCUCCAUGCAUUUUCUCUUUUUUUUUUUUUUGUCUUUUUGAGACACGGUCUCCCUGCGCAAUUCAGGCAGGCCUUGAGCUUGCUUUGUAGCCCAGGCUGGUCUCGAACUUGCAACGAUCCUCCUGCCUCAGCCUCCCACAGGUAUGCACCACCAUGCCCAGCUCUAAUACAGUAUUUAAAGCAGGUCUGUCUUCAAAUCUUAUCUGUUGAAUGAAUAAAUGAAUGAAUGAAUGGCUAGACGUGUAGUUAAGAUCCCUAGAUAAAGCAGCAA
rnacentral:lncRNA from 1 species